UACGAAGGUGGCAAGCGUUGUUCGGAUUUACUGGGCGUACAGGGAGCGUAGGCGGUUGGAUAAGCCCUCCGUGAAAUCUCCAGGCUCAACCUCGAGACGUCGGCGGAAACCAUCUGGCUAGAGUCCGGAAGAGGAGAGUGGAAUUCCUGGUGUGAGCGGUGAAAUGCGCAGAUAUCAGGAAGAACACCCGUGGCGAAGGCGGCUCUCUGGGACGGUACUGACGCUGAGACGCGAAAGCGUGGGAUCAAACAGG
rnacentral:rRNA from 1 species